UUCUCUGGAGAGGUGAUGUUG
rnacentral:siRNA from 1 species